rnacentral:rRNA from 1 species
AUUGAACGCUGGCGGCAGGCCUAACACAUGCAAGUCGAGCGGUAGAGAGAAGCUUGCUUCUCUUGAGAGCGGCGGACGGGUGAGUAAUGCCUAGGAAUCUGCCUGGUAGUGGGGGAUAACGCUCGGAAACGGACGCUAAUACCGCAUACGUCCUACGGGAGAAAGCAGGGGACCUUCGGGCCUUGCGCUAUCAGAUGAGCCUAGGUCGGAUUAGCUAGUUGGUGAGGUAAUGGCUCACCA